rnacentral:lncRNA from 1 species
GGUAUUCUGUGAAUUAAUAAGUCUUAAUCCCUUAAAUUCACAUUAUUCUUUUAAAUCAACAUAAAUUUUAGAUCGUUCCUUUAUUUAGGAUUUCUCAAGAAUCAACAUAAUAUUAGCAAAGCUGAAAGUUUGGUUCUUAACUGUCUACAACACCUACCAUUUCUCUCUUUUUUAAUUCCCUAGUCUCAUUUAGUUUCCCCC